rnacentral:rRNA from 1 species
AACGAACGCUGGCGGCAUGCCUAACACAUGCAAGUCGAACGAGACCUUCGGGUCUAGUGGCGCACGGGUGCGUAACGCGUGGGAACCUGCCCUUAGGUUCGGAAUACCUCCCCGAAAGGGGUGCUAAUACCGGAUAAUGUCUUCGGACCAAAGAUUUAUCGCCUUUGGAUGGGCCCGCGUUGGAUUAGCUAGUUGGUAGGGUAAAAGCCUACCAAGGCGACGAUCCAUAGCUGGUCUGAGAGGAUGAUCAGCCACACUGGGACUGAGACACGGCCCAGACUCCUACGGGAGGCAGCAGUGGGGAAUAUUGGACAAUGGGCGAAAGCCUGAUCCAGCAAUGCCGCGUGAGUGAGGAAGGCCUUAGGGUUGUAAAGCUCUUUUACCCGGGAUGAUAAUGACAGUACCGGGAGAAUAAGCUCCGGCUAACUCCGUG